rnacentral:rRNA from 1 species
CCAGACUCCUACGGGAGGCCGCCGUGGGGGCUCUUGCACCAUGGGGGCCCCCCUGAUGCGGCGCCGCCGCGUGCGUGCCGACGGCCUUCGGGUUGUAAAGCUCUGUCAAUCGGGCCGCCGCAGAUGACGGUCCCGAUGAAGGACGCUCCGGCUAACUCCGUGCCAGCAGCCGCGGUCAUACGUAGGGCGCCAGCGUUGUCCGGACUUACUGGGGGGACAGGGAGCGGAGGCGGGAAUGCAAGGUGGAAGUGAAAGGUAUGGGCUCAACCCAGGAACUGCGGUCAAAACUGGAGGGCGUGAGGGAAGGAGAGGCAGGCGGAAUUCCUAGGGGAGCGGUGAAAUGCGGAGAUAUUAGGAGGAACACCAGUGGCGAAGGCGGCCUGCGGGGCGGUAACUGACGCGGAGGCGCGAAAGCGGGGGUAGCAAACAGGAGGAGAGACCCGGGGAC